rnacentral:rRNA from 1 species
UGCGCGNGUNAAAGGGCUACCGAAACCCCACGGCGCAAUGAAGUNAAGGCGCGCGCCGGCCNAGGUGGGAUCCCCCCCCAGGGGCUGGGGCGCACCACCGGCCCGUCUCUCCGUCCGUCGGGGCAGUGGAGCUAGAGCGUACGCGAUGUACCCGAAAGAUGUGAACUAUGCCUGGGCAGGCGAAGCCAGAGGAAACUCUGGUGGAGGCCCGCAGCGGUCCUGACGUGCAAACUUGUCCACCUGGUAUAGGGCGAAAGACUAAUCGAACCAUCUAGUAGCUGGUU